rnacentral:tRNA from 1 species
GCCUGGCUGGCUCAAUUGGAAGAGUGCAUGACUCUUGAUCUCGGGGUUGUGAGUUCAAGUCCCACACUGGGUA